AUUGAACGCUGGCGGCAGGCCUCACACAUGCAAGUCGAGCGGAGCGGCGGACGGGUGAGUAAUUCAUAGGAAUCUGCCUGGUAGUGGGGGAUAACGUACGGAAACGGGCGCUAAUACCGCCUACUCACAGAUGAGCCUAGGUAGGAUUAGCUAGUUGGGUGGGUAAAGGCCUACCAAGGCGAGGAUCCGUAACUGGUCUGAGAGGAUGAACAGUCACACUGGAAAUGCGACACGGUCGAGACUCCUACGCGAGGCAGCAGUGGGGAAUAUUGGACAAUGGGCGAAAGCCUGAUCCAGCCAUGCCGCGUGUGUGAAGAAGGUCUUCGGAUUGUAAAGCACUUUAAGUUGGGAGGCGUUACCAACAGAAUAAGCACCGGCUAACUUCGUGCCAGCAGCCGCGGUAAUAC
rnacentral:rRNA from 1 species